rnacentral:rRNA from 1 species
GAGUUUGAUCAUGGCUCAGGAUGAAUGCUGGCGGCGUGCCUAAUACAUGCAAGUCGAGCGGUAACAGGGAGUUCCACCGUUUCCUUGACACACCUAGCGCUGAGAUCGUAGGUUUGUGAAAACUCGAGGGAACCGUGGAAUUCUGCUGACGAGCGGCGGACGGCUGAGUAACGCGUGGGAACGGACCCCAAACUGAGGGAUAACGCAUCGAAAGGUGUGCUAAUACCGCAUGUGAUCUUCGGAUUAAAGGAUUUAUCCGGUUUGGGACUGGCCUGCGUACGAUUAGAUAGUUGGCGGGGUAAUGGCCCACCAAGUCGACGAUCGUUAGAUGGUUUGAGAAGAUGAUCAUCCAGACUGGGACUGAGACACGGCCCAGACUCCUACGGGAGGCAGCAGUAGGGAAUCUUUCACAAUGGGCGAAAGCCUGAUGGAGCAACGCCGCGUGCAGGAUGACGGCCUUCGGGUUGUAAACUGCUUUUAUAUCCGAGAAAUAUGAUGGUAAGAUAUGAAUAAGGACCGGCUAACUACGUGCCAGCAGCCGCGGUCAUACGUAGGGUCCAAGCAUUAUCCGGAUUGACUGGGUGUAAAGAGUUGCGUAGGUGGCAGGGUAAGUAGAUAGUGAAAUCUGGUGGCUCAACCAUUCAGACUAUUAUCUAAACUGCUCCGCUCGAGAGCGUUAGGGGUAGCUGGAAUUUCUAGUGUAGGAGUGAAAUCCGUAGAUAUUAGAAAGAACACCGAUAGCGUAGGCAGGCUACUGGGACGUUUCUGACACUAAGGCACGAAAGCGUGGGGAGCAAACGGGAUUAGAUACCCCGGUAGUCCACGCCGUAAACGAUGGAUACUAGCAGUUUCGGGUAUCGACCCC